rnacentral:rRNA from 1 species
ACGCUGGCGGCGUGCCUAAUACAUGCAAGUAGAACGCUGAAGAGAGGAGCUUGCUCUUCUUGGAUGAGUUGCGAACGGGUGAGUAACGCGUAGGUAACCUGCCUUGUAGCGGGGGAUAACUAUUGGAAACGAUAGCUAAUACCGCAUAACAAUGGAUGACACAUGUCAUUUAUUUGAAAGGGGCAAUUGCUCCACUACAAGAUGGACCUGCGUUGUAUUAGCUAGUAGGUGAGGUAACGGCUCACCUAGGCGACGAUACAUAGCCGACCUGAGAGGGUGAUCGGCCACACUGGGACUGAGACACGGCCCAGACUCCUACGGGAGGCAGCAGUAGGGAAUCUUCGGCAAUGGGGGCAACCCUGACCGAGCAACGCCGCGUGAGUGAAGAAGGUUUUCGGAUCGUAAAGCUCUGUUGUAAGUCAAGAACGAGUGUGAGAGUGGAAAGUUCACACUGUGACGGUAGCUUACCAGAAAGGGACGGCUAACUACGUGCCAGCAGCCGCGGUAAUACGUAGGUCCCGAGCGUUGUCCGGAUUUAUUGGGCGUAAAGCGAGCGCAGGCGGUUUGAUAAGUCUGAAGUUAAAGGCUGUGGCUCAACCAUAGUUCGCUUUGGAAACUGUCAAACUUGAGUGCAGAAGGGGAGAGUGGAAUUCCAUGUGUAGCGGUGAAAUGCGUAGAUAUAUGGAGGAACACCGGUGGCGAAAGCGGCUCUCUGGUCUGUAACUGACGCUGAGGCUCGAAAGCGUGGGGAGCGAACAGGAUUAGAUACCCUGGUAGUCCACGCCGUAAACGAUGAGUGCUAGGUGUUGGAUCCUUUCCGGGAUUCAGUGCCGCAGCUAACGCAUUAAGCACUCCGCCUGGGGAGUACGACCGCAAGGUUGAAACUCAAAGGAAUUGACGGGGGCCCGCAC